ensembl:snRNA U6 U6 spliceosomal RNA
GUGCUCACUUUGGCAGCACAUAUACUAAAAUUGGAAAAAAUACGAGAAGACUAGCAUGGCCCCUGCACAAGGAUGACAUGCAAAUUCGUGAAGCAUUCCAUAUUUUU